AAGCGGUGGAUGAUGUGGUUUAAUUCGAUGCAACGCGAAAACCUUACCACCUUUGACAUGUACGGAAGCCUUUAGAGAUAGAGGCGUGCUCGAAAGAGAGCCGUAACACAGGUGCUGCAUGGCUGUCGUCAGCUCGUGUCGUGAGAUGUUGGGUUAAGUCCCGCAACGAGCGCAACCCUUGUCAUUAGUUGCUACAUUCAGUUGGGCACUCUAAUGAGACUGCCGGUGACAAGCCGGAGGAAGGUGGGGAUGACGUCAAGUCCUCAUGGCCCUUAUAGGUGGGGCUACACACGUCAUACAAUGGCUGGUACAAAGGGUUGCCAACCCGCGAGGGGGAGCUAAUCCCAUAAAGCCAGUCGUAGUCCGGAUCGUAGUCUGCAACUCGACUACGUGAAGUCGGAAUCGCUAGUAAUCGUGGAUCAGAAUGUCACGGUGAAUACGUUCCCGGGUCUU
rnacentral:rRNA from 1 species